ACACUUCCCCAAUCCCCUCAUUUUCCCUCCUUUCCAUUUUCUCCUUCCUUCCUCCACUCCCCAUCCUCUCUCUGUCGUAGCGUUGUUCGCGAUCUCCCGUUGCAGUUGCCCCUUGCCGUCAUCCCUCGCCUCGCCGUUGUCCUUUGCAGCUCCAGCCCCUCUCCUUUGGUCCAUUUUCUCCUUCCCUCCUCCACUCUCCAACCUCUCUUCGUCGCAGUGUGGUUCAAGGUCUCCCGUCGCCGUCGCCCAUUGCCGUUGGCCAUCGCCAUCGCCCGCCGCCCCUCCUUUCCAUGGUCAUCUGCUUCAUGGUGAUGCUUCAGCAAAAGCUACUUUGUAUAGGGACAAAGCAGAUUUCUCUGAUUCAAUCACUAAUUGGACAAACAGAAGAGGCCUGGGGAAGUACUGAAGAACAGCUUUAUGCUAUUGAGACGCGGGGAAGUUGCAAAUUUUGAUCUGAAGAGGGUAUUUUUUGAAUAUGAAGCUUCAGAUGCCAUGAAGGAGUCAAGGGUUCUUGAUAUUCUAAUCAUGAAGCAUGGACUUCGAAGAGUUCUGUGCCGCUGCAAUCAGCACGCCUCCACUGGAGGCCCUUGAAAGGUGGGAGCAAAUAGCAUCUGCAGGUUUUGAGCAUUUUGAGCAGGAGGGUAACCGAGUGGUCUCAGUCGAGGAAUUGACAAGGAAUUCAGUUUCUGAAUUGAGGCAAAUGUUGAGAAUCUCUCCAAGUGUUUAGAGGAGCCAUUUGAUCAGUUUACUGUGGAUAAAGUUAUGAACAUAAGGAUGCAAGUCAUCAAUUUAUCUGUCAUCGUUGAUUCUCUUUGUAAGAAAAUGUCGGUAUGGCUAUGAAAAAUUUUGAAUCUUUUAUUUAUUUAUUUAUUUAUGCAUUUGAAAUUCACGUGCCUAAAUAACAACAUGCAGGUAUGAAUGCAUUGAGAAUGAUUUAUUAGG